GACAGAGGGUGCAAACGUUGUUCGGAAUUACUGGGCGUAAAGCGUGUGUAGGCGGCUACAUAAGUCGGAUGUGAAAGCCCCGGGCUCAACCCGGGAAGUGCACUCGAUACUGCGUAGCUUGAGUCUCGGAGAGGUUGGUGGAAUUCUCGGUGUAGAGGUGAAAUUCGUAGAUAUCGAGAGGAACACCGGUGGCGAAGGCGGCCAACUGGACGAGUACUGACGCUGAGACACGAAAGCGUGGGGAGCAAACAGG
rnacentral:rRNA from 1 species